rnacentral:rRNA from 1 species
AUGUCGAUACGGGCUCUAAGCCUAAAUUUCGUCUGGGCAGCAGGAAAACCAAAGGAGAGACCUCGAGUGAAUAAGUGGCCUGUUGUUUUGUCCAGCCAACAAGUUCUAAAUGUUGAUGCAUCGUUUCAUGUUGAAGAUCAUACAGGCGGGUGUGGAGCAGUAGUGAGAGACAGCCGUGGAAAAUUCAUCGGGGCGUCUACAACUAACCUCAUGCAAAUUCCGGAUGUCAUCUCGGCGGAAGCUGCAGCUUUGAUGGAAGGCCUAAAGCUCCUCCAAAGCCUAGGAUGCAACAAUGUGAUGCUGAGAAUGGAUAAUAUUGUGGUGGUUGAUGCCCUACGGAUGAACGAAGGUCAUGCUAUGGUGGCAGCCCCAAUAUUAGAAGAGUGUAGAUUCUUGCUACGAGAGUUCGGGAAGGUAACUAUUGAGCAUUGUAAUCGAGAGUCAAAUAUAGUCGCUCAUGAGCUAGCUAACUGGGGAAGGACAAAUUCUCCCUCUGUGUGGGUGGAUGUACCCCCUGAGUUUAUUAUUAAAUCCCUAGCAAACGAUGUAAGUGUGAUUGAUUAA